rnacentral:lncRNA from 1 species
CUGGGCUGCGGCUGUCAUGGACGCCUGGGUCCGCUUCAGUGCUCAGAGCCAAGCCCGGGAGCGGCUGUGUAGGGCCGCCCAGUAUGCUUGCUCUCUUCUUGGCCAUGCGCUGCAGAGGCAUGGAGCCAGUCCUGAGUUACAGAAACAGAUUCGACAACUGGAGAGCCACCUGAGCCUUGGAAGAAAGCGUAAGUAACUCUGUCUUUCCUUUUAUCCCCCAACCUUUCCUCCAUCCCCAGCUCACCUUCCUUUGUCCCUCCUUCCUGUACCCUCUCUGUUCUUCUUUCUCAUUUGGCUCUGCACUUACCCUCUGCAUGAGUCCAGUUGAGAUAAGAGAGCAGGGGUAUGGAAGUAAUUAGGCGGACUGGAGAGAAUGGGUCAAGUUUGAGAAAACUAAACUGGCACAAAAAUUAAAUUUGAAAUUGAAAAAUGGACUGUUUCUGCUCUUUAUUUUUUAUUUUUUUGAGACAGAGUCUCUCGUCCAGGUCAGAGUGCAGUGGCGCAAUCUUGGCUCACUGCAACCUCUGCCUCCCAGGUUCAAGCAAUUCUCCUGUCUCAGCCUCCUGAGCAGCUGGGACUACAGGUGCCCACCACCAUGCCGGGCUAAUUUUUGUAUUUUUAGUAGAGAUGGGGUUACACCAUGUUGGCCAGGCUGGUCUCAAACUCGUGACCUCAGGUGAUCCACCCACCUCGGCCUCCCAAAAUGUUGGGAUUACAGGCUUGAGCCACCAUGCCCAGCCUGUUUCUGCUCUUUAAAAAAAUUGUCAUUAUUAUUGCUCAACUUUUGCCCUCUUGCUUUCUCUGUUUCUGUUUCUUGUUAUCUGCCUCUCCACUUACAAAUCCUUGCUUUCCCUUUCUAAUCUCCACAAGUUCUACGCCUGGGUAACUCAGCAGAUGCCCUUGAGUCAGCCAAAAGAGCUGUUCACCUAUCAGAUGUUGUCCUGAGAUUCUGCAUCACUGUUAGUCACCUCAAUCGAGCCUUGUACUUCGCCUGUGACAAUGUCCUGUGGGCUGGAAAGUCUGGACUGGCUCCCCGUGUGGAUCAGGAGAAGUGGGCCCAGCGUUCAUUCAGGUUUGAUAUCCUGUUCUCCUUUAAGAUUUUUUUUUGUAGCCUCUAUAUUGCAUAGCUUGUCUUAUAUGAGGGAAAGAUAUCUUAGGAUCUUUCCAGAGUAUAUAAGUCUUGAUCAGUCACUUGGCUUCCAAUCACUUAGAUCUUAAACUAUCGGAGAAUAUCAAAUGGGGAGAGAUGGAAGACAGAUGCUCUUCCAUAAUGAAUGACUAAUAUUGUGCAAGGUAAGAUAUUAUAUCACUUUAAUUGUGCUUCUAUACCACAGGUUAUUCCCCCUCACUACCUGCUUACUCAUUCAUUCCAAAGAUAUUUAUUAGAUGCUUACUGUGGCGCAGGGGAUAAAGCAAAGAGCUAAACAGAUAAUGUGCCUGCUCCCAUGAAGCUUCUAGUUUAGUGAGGGAGUUAGAUACUACAAUGAAUAACUUCUCAUAUAUAUUUGUGGAAAAGUAUGCGGUAUUAUGAAAGAAUAUCACAAGGGGAGCUAAUUUAGAUUGGAAAAUCAGGAAAAAACUCUUUGAGAAAGUAAUAUUUUAGCUCAGACCUGAUGUCUGAGUAGGAGGAGUUAGACAAAGCCAACAGUAGCAGAAAAGACAUUUCCAAACAGAGAAAAUUGCACAUUCUAAGUAAGGCUUUGAACUAAGAAAGACUUAAGGGAAUUAGAGAAAUAGAAAGAAAGCCAGUGUGAUUGACAGUAUUGAGUCCAUCAGUUCAAAUUUGAGAGAUAGACAGGCACCAGAUCUUUCAUACAGGGCCUUUUAGGCAAUGUUAAUGUUUGUUUUAUUUUAUCCUACAAUGGGACAUUAUUGAAGGAUUCUGAGCAGGGAAAUGACAUGAUUCAAAUUGUGUUUAAAGGACAUCUCUUUUUGAGAUGUUGAAAAUGGAUUGCAGGCCGGGCGCAGUGGCUCACGCCUGUAAUCCCAGCACUUUGGGAGGCCGAGGUUGGGGGGAUCACGAGGUCAGGACUUCAAGACCAGCCUGGCCAACGUGGCAAAACCCCGUCUCUACUAAAAUUACAAAAAUUAGCCAGGUGUGGUGGCGGGCACCUGUAAUCCCAGCUACUCGGGAGGCUGAGGCAGGAGACUCGCUUGAACCCGGGAGGCAAAGGUUGCAGUGAGCCGAGAUCGUGCUAUUGCACUCCAGCCUAGGUGACAAGAGCAAGACUCCAUCUCAAAAAAAAAAAAAAAAGAAAAGAAAAGAAAAGAAAAUGGAUUGCAGUGGGUCAAGAGAGGAGGAGAUGCCCUAAUACGAGCAAGAGAUGACGUUGGCUUGGACAAAGGAGGUAGCUGACAAUAAAGGUAGAGAGAAAUAUGAUGUGGGAGUAAAAUUCUCUAACAUAUUAUCUGUAUUGUUUUUCGUUUUCCUAUGAUUGUACUUUUUCAUUAUAUUAACCUUGCUUUUCCCUUCAUCUUUCUCAGUGAUUUACAACUUUAACAUGGCUUAUGAUGUAUGAGGGGUGGGAGCAGAGGCAUGGCUGGAGCAGUAUGGAAAAGCAACUCCCUAAAGGAGUCUAUAUGUUAUAUUUAUUCAUUUCAUCCAACAGAUACUUACUGAGCUCUUACUAUAUGGUAGGCACCAGUGUACAUACAGGGAUACAGUGGUUAAAGAUAAACAAGGCCGGCCAGGUGCGGUGGCUCAUGCCUGUAAUCCCAGCACUUUGGGAGGCCAAGGCGGGCGGAUCACCUGAGGUCAGGAGUUUUGAGACCAGCCUGACCGGCAUGGAGAAACCCCGUCUCUACUAAAAAUACAAAAUUAGCCGGGUGUGGUGGCGCAUGCCUGUAAUCCCAGCUACUCGGGAGGUUGAGGCAGGAGAAUCGCUUGAACCCGGGAGGCAGAGUUUGUGGUGAGCCGAGAUCGUGCCAUUGUACUCUAGCCUGGGCAACAACAGUGAAAUACCGUCUCAAAAAAAAAGAAAAGACAAACAAGGCCUCUGCUCCUCUGGAACUUACCUUGUAAUGGGAUGAGAUAAACAUAAAUAAACAAUAAAUUAAAAUAUCAGAUACUGGUAAAUGUUAUGCAGGAAAUUAAAACAGUGUUAUGGAGUAGAGAGUAACUGACUCAGUGCUUUAGAUUUAGGGAUAAGGGAAGGCGUCUCCGAAGAGGUGAUACUUAAGCUCAUACCUGAAGAGCAAGAAAGAGCUAGCUAUGUGAGGGUUUUGGAGGGAGAAUAUUCCAGGUGGAGGGAGAAUAUUCCAGGUAGAGGGAAUAGGUAGUGCAAAGGUCCUAAGGCAAGAACAAGCUUGAUGGGAUUAAAAUGUAGAAGGAAACCAACAUGGUUGGAGCAUAAUGAUUGCAGGAAAGAAUGAUACAAGGUAAAGUUAGAGGGGUAGGGACCAGAUGUUGAGUCUGUAAGCCUCUCUAAGGUAUUUAUAUUUUAUUAUGAAUGUGACAGGAAGAAAACCAUGGAGAGCUGUGGUUUGUUUAUUUGUUUUUGGUUUUUUUUUUUUUUGAGAUGGAGUCUUGCUCUGUCGCCCAGGCUGGAGCGCAAUGGUGCAAUCUCAGCUCACUGCAACGUCCAUCUCUUGGGUUCAAGUGAUUCUGCUGCCUCAGCCUCCUGAGUAGCUGGGAUUACAGGCACGCGCCACCACACCCAGCUAAUUUUUGUAUUUUUAGUAGAGACAGGGUUUCACCACGUUGGUCAGGCUAGUCUCCAACUCCUGACCUCAUGAUCCACUUGCCUCCACCUCCCGAAGUGCUGGGAUUAUAGGCGUGAGCCACCACGCCUGGCCAACCAUGGAGAGUUUUAAGAAGGGAAGUAAUGAUGUGAUUUAUGUUUAUGCUAGCUAUUAUAUGAAAAUAGAUUGUUGGGGGUGGGGGCAACAAUGGCCACAGUGAGACCAGUUAAAACAUUAAAGCAGAAGUCCAGACAAGAGAUGUUAGUGGCUUAGAGUAUGGCAGUGCGGUGUGAUAGAGAGAUGUGGUUGGUUGGGUUCAGGAUAUACUUUGAAGGUAGUACAAGUUAUUGAGUACAGACCACCAUUGUCAGAUUGGAUUACAAAUAAAAAACAUGGAUUUUUUACUGAAGAAAUUUAUAAUUUAACACAUUUGGCAAUUACUUAAACCUCUGGGCCUCUAAAGGAAUAGGGAUUGGAUUUAGAUCACCUUUAAUAUGUUUGAGUCUCUGAGACAUCUGAAAUUUGUUCUUUCAAAACAAGUUUGCCUUGUUAUAGGUCAAGUUGAGAGAGAGAUGGAGAGUGUGUGUGUGUGUGUGUGUGUGUGUGUGUGUGUGUUGCCAAGUGGAAAAUGAAAUUUGAGAUUGACCUUGGAAGAUUUCAUGAUGCUCAUGGAGUUUAAACCAGGAUCUUAAGGUGCACAUAAACAUGUAUUAGUUACAGAAUGUUGGGAGGACUUUGUUUCUUCAUUUUUAUUGGGACAUAAUUGACAAAUAGAAAUUACAUAUAUUUAAGGAGUUAUAGCUCGAUGUUUGUACAUGUACGUUGUGACAUGAUCACCACAGUCAAGCUAAUUAACAUAUCCAUCACCUCACAUAAUUACCUUUUUUCUUUUAUGGUAAGAACACUUAAGAUCUACCUUCCUGGCAGAUUUCAAAUAUACAAUACAGUAUUGUUAACUAUAGUCACAAUGUAGUACAUUAGAUCUCCAGAACUUACUCAUCUUGCAUAACUGAAACUUAUACGCUUUGACCAGUAUCUUCCCAUUUCCCUCACUCCCCAACCCCUGGCAACCCCCAUUCUAUUCUGUGCCCCUAUGAGUUAGCCUUUUU